AGACCAUGAUGUGGGCAUUUUCUUAGUAGGUCUUUGUAUCUUUCCCAUGCUUCAUAUAAUGAUCCCAUUUUGCUUAAAUGUGCCACAAAUUUCCAAGAAAUUUUCAAUAUGGGCAU
rnacentral:snoRNA from 1 species